rnacentral:rRNA from 1 species
AUACGUAGGGUGCGAGCGUUGUCCGGAAUUACUGGGCGUAAAGAGCUCGUAGGUGGUUUGUCGCGUCGUCUGUGAAAUUCCGGGGCUUAACUCCGGGCGUGCAGGCGAUACGGGCAUAACUUGAGUACUGUAGGGGAGACUGGAAUUCCUGGUGUAGCGGUGACAUGCGCAGAUAUCAGGAGGAACACCGGUGGCGAAGGCGGGUCUCUGGGCAGUAACUGACGCUGAGGAGCGAAAGCAUGGGUAGCGAACAGGAUUAGAUACCCUGGUAGUCCAUGCCGUAAACGGUGGGCGCUAGGUGUAGGGGUCUUCCACGACUUCUGUGCCGUAGCUAACGCAUUAAGCGCCCCGCCUGGGGAGUACGGCCGCAAGGCUAAAACUCAAAGGAAUUGACGGGG